rnacentral:rRNA from 1 species
GACUCAGGAUGAACGCUAGCUACAGGCUUAACACAUGCAAGUCGAGGGGCAGCAUGGUCUUAGCUUGCUAAGGCCGAUGGCGACCGGCGCACGGGUGAGUAACGCGUAUCCAACCUGCCUUACACUCUUGGACAGCCUUCUGAAAGGGAGAUUAAUACAAGAUGUUAUCAUGAGUAAGCAUUUUCGCAUGAUUAAAGAAUUCGGUUAUUGAUGGGGAUGCGUUCCAUUAGUUUGUUGGCGGGGUAACGGCCCACCAAGACUACGAUGGAUAGGGGUUCUGAGAGGAAGGUCCCCCACACUGGUACUGAGACACGGACCAGACUCCUACGGGAGGCAGCAGUGAGGAAUAUUGGUCAAUGGGCGAGAGCCUGAACCAGCCAAGUCGCGUGGAGGAAGACUGCCCUACGGGUUGUAAACUCCUUUUACCUGGGAAUAACGGGCGCUACGCGUAGCGCUGUGCAUGUACCGGGAGAAUAAGCAUCGGCUAAUUCCGUG